rnacentral:tRNA from 1 species
CGCGCCGUAAUCUCAAUCGGACAGAGCCCUGUCGGUCUUUGAAAUCCAAGCCUAGACAACUCGGAGAGUAAGGGCAGGGGGUUGCAGGUUCAAGUCCUGCCGGCGCGCCCA